rnacentral:rRNA from 1 species
GAUGAACGCUGGCGGCGCGCCUAACACAUGCAAGUCGAACGAUUAAAGCACCUUCGGGUGUGUAUAAAGUGGCGAACGGCUGAGUAACACGUGUGCAACCUGCCCCUCUCAUUGGGAUAGCCACUGGAAACCGUGGAUAAUACCGAAUACUUCGGGACUUCCGCAUGGAAGACUCGAGAAAGCUCCGGCGGAGAGGGAUGGGCCCGCGGCCUGUUAGCUUGUUGGUGGGGUAAUGGCCUACCAAGGCAAUGAUGGGUAGCUGGGUUGAGAGACCGACCAGCCAGAUUGGGACUGAGACACGGCCCAGACUCCUACGGGAGGCAGCAGUGGGGAAUCUUGCACAAUGGGCGAAAGCCUGAUGCAGCGACGCCGCGUGCGGGAUGAAGGCCUUCGGGUUGUAAACCGCUUUCAGCAGGGACGAGGCGAAAGUGACGGUACCUGCAGAAGAAGCCCCGGCUAACUACGUG